GCGGCUUGUUGCGUCAGCUGUGAAAGCCCAUGGCUUAACUGUGGGUUGGCAGCUGAUACGGGCAGGCUAGAGUUCGGUAGGGGAGACUGGAAUUCCUGGUGUAGCGGUGAAAUGCGCAGAUAUCAGGAGGAACACCGGUGGCGAAGGCGGGUCUCUGGGCCGAUACUGACGCUGAGGAGCGAAAACGUGGGGAGCGAACAGGAUUAGAUACCCUGGUAGUCCACGCUGUAAACGUUGGGCGCUAGGUGUGGGGGGCCUCUCCGGUUUCCUGUGCCGUAGCUAACGCAUUAAGCGCCCCGCCUGGGGAGUACGGCCGCAAGGCUAAAACUCAAAGGAAUUGACGGGGGCCAGCACAAGCGGCGGAGCAUGCGGAUUAAUUCGAUGCGACGCGAAGAACCUUACCUGGGUUUGACAUGGCCGUUAAAGCCGCAGAGAUGUGGUGUCCUUCGGGGGCGGUCACAGGUGGUGCAUGGCUGUCGUCAGCUCGUGUCGUGAGAUGUUGGGUUAAGUCCCGCAACGAGCGCAACCCUUGUUCGAUGUUGCCAGCGG
rnacentral:rRNA from 1 species